GGGGGGGGGGGGGGGGGGGGGGGGCGCGGGGGGGGGGGGGGGGGGGGGGGGGCUUGCGCGUGGAGUCGGCGGGGGGCGGGGGCGUAGGGCCUAGGAGGCUGCGGGGUAGUGGGGGAUGACGACCGGGACCGGGCGCUCCUACCGCAGGCGUCGCGAGGGACACGGCGGGGGGGCUUGGGAACUCCCGCCAGCGGGUGCACAGACGUCGGUUUAGCGAAUUGGUGGGGUAAAGGCCUACCAAGGCGACGAUCCGUAACUGGUCUGCGAGGAUGAUCAGUCACACUGGAACUGAGACACGGUCCAGACUCCUACGGGAGGCAGCAGUGGGGAAUAUUGGACAAUGGGCGAAAGCCUGAUCCAGCCAUGCCGCGUGUGUGAAGAAGGUCUUCGGAUUGUAAAGCACUUUAAGUUGGGAGGAAGGGCAGUAAGUUAAUACCUUGCUGUUUUGACGUUACCAACAGAAUAAGCACCGGCUAACUUCGUG
rnacentral:rRNA from 1 species